rnacentral:rRNA from 1 species
AGCGAACGCUGGCGGCAUGCUUAACACAUGCAAGUCGCACGGCCAGCAAUGGCAGUGGCGGACGGGUGAGUAACGCGUGGGGAUCUGUCUCUGGGUGGGGGAUAACGAUGGGAAACUAUCGCUAAUACCGCAUGAAACCUGAGGGUCAAAGGCGCAAGUCGCCUGGAGAGGAACCCGCGUACGAUUAGCUUGUUGGCGGGGUAAUGGCCCACCAAGGCGACGAUCGUUAGCUGGUCUGAGAGGAUGAUCAGCCACACUGGGACUGAGACA